rnacentral:rRNA from 1 species
CUAAGAAUCUUCCGCAAUGGGCGCAAGCCUGACGGAGCGACGCCGCGUGGACGAUGAAGGCCGUAAGGUUGUAAAGUCCUUUUCUCUGUGAGGAAUGAGGGUGGGAGUGGAAAGCCCAUCUGAUGACGGUAACGGAGGAAUAAGCACCGGCUAACUACGUGCCAGCAGCCGCGGUAAUACGUAGGGUGCGAGCGUUGUUCGGAGUUAUUGGGCGUAAAGGGCGUGUAGGCGGCUUGAGAAGUCUGGUUUGAAAUGCACUGGCUCAACUGGUGCGCUGGGUCAGAAACUGGCAGGCUAGAGUUCAUGGGGAGGAGCUGGAAUUCCAGGUGUAGGGGUGAAAUCUGUAGAGAUCUGGAAGAACACCGGUAGCGAAGGCGAGCUCCUAUGGAUGGACUGACGCUGAGGCGCGAAAGCGUGGGGAGCAAACAG